AAAACGACUCUCGGCAACGGAUAUCUAGGCUCUCGCAUCGAUGAAGAACGUAGCAAAAUGCGAUACUUGGUGUGAAUUGCAGAAUCCCGUGAACCAUCGAGUUUUUGAACGCAAGUUGCGCCCGAAGCCAUUAGGUUGAGGGCACGUCUGCCUGGGCGUCUC
rnacentral:rRNA from 4 species